GACGAACGCUGGCGGCGUGCCUAACACAUGCAAGUCGAACGAGGUCCAUCCUUCGGGAGAAGACCUAGUGGCGAACGGGUGAGUAACACGUGAGGAACCUGCCCCGAAGACCGGGAUAACCCUCCGAAAGGAGAGCUAAUACCGGAUACCCCCGCCGAAUCGCAUGAUUUGGUGAGGAAAUGGAUUCCGCUUCGGGAGGGCCUCGCGGCCUAUCAGCUAGUUGGUGGGGUAACGGCCUACCAAGGCAUCGACGGGUAGCUGGUCUGAGAGGACGAUCAGCCACACUGGGACUGAGACACGGCCCAGACUCCUACGGGAGGCAGCAGUGGGGAAUCUUGCGCAAUGGGCGAAAGCCUGACGCAGCAACGCCGCGUGGGGGAUGAAGGCUCUCGAGUUGUAAACCCCUUUCAGCAGGGACGAAAUAAGACGGUACCUGCAGAAGAAGCUCCGGCUAACUACGUG
rnacentral:rRNA from 1 species